UACGUAGGCAGCAAGCGUUGUUCGGAGUUACUGGGUUUAAAGGGUGCGUAGGCGGCUUUGUAAGUCAGGAGUGAAAGUUUGCGGCUCAACCGUAAAAUUGCUUUUGAUACUGCGAGGCUAGAAUUAGGAUGAGGUCAGCGGAAUGUGGCAUGUAGCGGUGAAAUGCAUAGAUAUGCCAUAGAACACCAAUUGCGAAGGCAGCUGGCUAGACCUGGAUUGACGCUGAGGCACGAAAGCGUGGGGAGCGAACAGG
rnacentral:rRNA from 1 species